ensembl:lncRNA
GACGUGAGACUUCAGCAUCCUCUCAUCCCGCGAUGAAAAAAAUAAGAACGGAGGAUCUAUUGUACAGAAACACAGAAACACACCGCCGAUCGCGUGUUGCUGAAAUGUGAAAUGAGGAACUAAAGCCGUCAGCAGUAAAGCUGGCACGGUUAUAAAGGGCCGCACAGCCAUAACUUACAUCAACAUAAAACCUCCACUCAUGCAUACAGAAUCACAUUGAGGUGCGUACAUCUCGCCCCAGUAGGUGAUUUAAUUUCACGCAAUUUGCAUGCCCUCAUGAAAAGAAUAUUUAAUCUUCCUGCUCACAUGCCAACUGAGCCUCUACUCAAAGGUAGCGCACGCUACUGCAACGAUUCUGCAGCAAAAGGGUCUAACGAGCUCAUGCUGAUUAAAGCACUGGCAAAGGUGUGUGUGUGAUUUACAUCCAUGGAUGUGCACACACACACACUGAGUUGGGACUGGAUGAAGAGAACUCAGUGGGAUUGAUGUUGACGCGUCACACAGACAAACACUGGCGUCCCGUGGGAACGACAGCAGAGCUCGCUUUCGACCCGCGCUGCUGCGUCUCCUUGUGCGGAAUGUUUGCAAAAUAGUGAGUACGGAAAAAAUACGGCUCAGCGAAGGCACCAAGUACAAUGCGGCCGCGCUAUUCAAGGCGGUGAAUUACCCAUUCAGAGCCCAUCUGUGAUUAAAGGGACGGCGGCUAGCAGCUAACGGCGCUAACAACAACAGCGUUCUGUGUUCUUCUGGUAAACACUCCAUUCAACAACACAGGACUUUUGAAGAAAAGACACACUGUGCUGUUUUUGCCCUGAACACCACUUCUACAUUCCUUCUCUUCAGCUGUUCUGCUUGUGGAAGACUAUUACGUCUGUUCGCUACUGAAACACACACAAAAACUAAACAUCCUCCGUCCCAACGAGGGGUCCAGAGUGCCAAAAGGGAAAUAAGGCGAGAAGGUUAUAAACCUCUGCACUAGAGGAAGUAGAGUUUCCCAGCGUUAAGCCCCAAAUGGAUACCGUCAAAAUAAGGUCAGCAGGCUUUUGUUCCAUAUGGAGAGGGAGGGCUUAGUCAUGUGACUUCCAUGUGUCCGGGGCUGCAGCGCUGCAACAAAUGAGGUCAGCCUUCAGGUAAAUGACUCGAACAGCCGGCAGCGCCUCAGGACGGGCCCUGCUCCACACACACACGCACGCACACACACACGCAUACACACACACACGCACACACACACGCAUACACACACACACGCACACACGCACGCACGCACACGCACACACACACGCACGCGCGUCCACGCAUAGAGCGUGACUGGCCCUAGUGGAGGUGAAGGGAUGCAACACAACGUCGGCCUCUCCCCUUUUCUUUCCAUCACUGUCAUCACGCCAAUCGGAAACGGGUCCAUUGAUCACCGCCGGGUUCUGAGGAGGCCGUCAUUCAGAGGGAGGCGUUGCGUCCUCUGUGGGGUGAACAGUUUUUGUGCGAUUAGCUGUGCGGCAUCUAAAGCCCUCUUCUAUUUAUUUUGUCCAUAAAGGGGGAAGAUGAACACUAAUGUCACAUGUAUAGACAUGUUUCCUGUAUAGACAUGUUUGAUAGACAUGUUUCAUAUAGAGACAUGUUUCAUAGACAUGUUUCAUAUAUAGACAUGUUUCAUAGACAUGUUUCAUAGACAUGUUUCAUAUAUAGACAUGUUUCAUAUUCAUAUAUGUUUCAUAGACAUGUUUCCUGUAUAGACAUGUUUCAUAGACAUGUUUCAUAUAGAGACAUGUUUCAUAGACAUACAUGUUUCAUAGACAUGUUUCCUGUAUAGACAUGUUUCAUAGACAUGUUUUAUGUAUAGACAUGUUUCAUAUAUAGACAUGUUUCAUAUAUAGAUAUGUUUCAUAGACAUACAUGUUUCCUGUAUAGACAUGUUUCAUAGACAUGUUUCAUAGACAUGUUUCCUGUAUAGACAUGUUUCAUAGACAUGUUUUCAUGUAUACACAUGUUUCAUGUUUCAUGGCCCACGUGAAGCCACAUUAGCUUUCAUUUGAAGUUGAGUUGAAUGUCUUUCUGUUUCAGUCUGUUUCAACGAACAGCAUAUUACCAAAAGCAUUUUUCGUGCAAUGGCCGCUAAAUGCCUUUUGUUGGUCGGCUGUUUGUUGAUGGGCAGGUAAUGUACCGUACUUUUAUGUUGCAUGCAGUUGUUGUUGAUACAAAUGCCUGGAACCCCCCCCCCCCCCUCGCCUCCCCUGUGGCUUUCACCCAUUAUUCUGAGAUGUGUAGCCUCAGGGGACGAGAACUCCUUCAUUCAAUUUUAAAUUCACGCAAUUUGGUUUUGUUUGGUUCAUUUCAUCCCUUUACCUAUUACCUCAUUUCCUCUGUUGUUGACAGACAAGCAGAAUAACACACACGCACACACAGACACACACACCUGGGACAGGGGUCAUCUAACUGAACCCUGGUUUACCUGUCUACUAGGUAAACAGAACAAAACCCAGACUUUGUCCUGUCAAACACAGCUCUUAUCUCAGGUAACGGGAUGGAAUGAAAAUCUGGAGCUCGGAUCAAACCUUCUCAAUCGACGAGUCAUCCGAAAAACAGUGCUUUGCAUGAUGGGAAACUCAACAACCAAGUUGGACUAAUGCCUUUCAUCAUUCAUCAUUUCAUCACACGUCCGUCAUGCAGGGAGACAUUAUGAAUGAUCUUCCCUUAUCGGCCCUGAACAGUACGGCUGAGCUUAAUUGAUUUGUUCAGAGCUUUACUUCACCUUUGUACCCGACUCUUCACUCGAGAGCUUCUCGCCGUCCACCUGAUCAAGAUUAAAGCACUGAGGUGGGAACCAGCGGACAUUAAGUCCAAGAGGGAAACCGACAUCGAGAGGAAAAGAUUGGAUCAAACGCGGUGGGAGAGUGAGUUUUAUUCUCUGCUCGAUUAGACGUCGCUCCACUGUACACAAUGGUUAAUGUUCUGAAUAUUGCAUCGAGAACCUUUAAAAAAACUCUAGACGAGGUCAGCCUCUAAAAUACAUUUUGCCAUUUUAUUUUCCCAGACUGCUGCUCUCGAAGGCCAAACACUCACGGCGCACAAUUACAGCUCAACAAGGAAUAUAAACGGGGUAAAACGAGUUAGCAGACAACCCAGGAAGACAUUAAGACAAUCAUUUAUUCAUCCACCCAGUGAAUUAUAAAUCUAUAUUUGGAUUUCCAUAAAAUGGAGGAUGAGUCAUACCGACCGUGUGAUCACUGUGUAUUUUCGUGGACCAAAUACUAACUCUCAAACAAAUGCCAACUGCAUAGUAGCCCUCACACUUAACAGCUCCACAGGUUAAAUUCCCUUUUAAAUCUCAUUCUUGCGAUAGAACCCCUACCUGACGCAUCACAAAGGAAACCGCCGAGAGGGGAAUAAAAGAGGCCUUCGGCCCCCGAGGGCUUCUCCUCUUCUUCAAAGAACAAUACUCGCAGUCUCCCGACUGUCACUGAGAAGGAUAUUCCAGCUGAAAAACAAAUGUCUCUUCCAAAGAGGGGGAUGGGUGGAUGGAGGGG